GAUGAACGCUGGCGGCGUGCCUAAUACAUGCAAGUCGAGCGAACAGAUGAGAAGCUUGCUUCUCUGAUGUUAGCGGCGGACGGGUGAGUAACACGUGGGUAACCUACCUAUAAGACUGGGAUAACUCCGGGAAACCGGGGCUAAUACCGGAUAAUAUUUUGAACCGCAUGGUUCAAUAGUGAAAGACGGUUUCGGCUGUCACUUAUAGAUGGACCCGCGCCGUAUUAGCUAGUUGGUAAGGUAACGGCUUACCAAGGCGACGGUACGUAGACGAGCUGAGAGGGUGAUCGCCCACACUCGAACUGAGACACGGUCCAGACUCCUACGGGAGGCAGCAGUAGAGAAUCGUCCGCAAGGGGCGAAAGCCUGAAGGAGCAACGCCGCGUGAGUGAUGAAGGUCUUCGGAUCGUAAAACUCUGUUGUUAGGGAAGAACAAAUUUGUUAGUAACUGAACAAGUCUUGACGGUACCUAACCAGAAAGCCACGGCUAACUACGUGCCAGCAGCCGCAGUAA
rnacentral:rRNA from 1 species